rnacentral:tRNA from 1 species
CAAACUAUAGCUUAUAAAGUAUUUUAUUUACAUUAAAAUGGAAUUUGUUAAAUCAAUUUGGUUUGA